CUUGGUCAUUUAGAGGAAGUAAAAGUCGUAACAAGGUUUCUGUAGGUGAACCUGCAGAAGGAUCAUUAGUGAAUGCCUGGGCUGUCAUACGGACUGCGGUCUCUGACGCCCACCCACUAUAUCCGCAAACCCUGUGCACUGUGGUGUUGUCUUGGACACACCUCGCCAACCAACUCGUCUUUGUAUCUGUACGUGUCUACUUGGCCUAAGCCAAAAAUCAACACAACUUUCGACAACGGAUCUCUUGGUUCUCCCAUCGAUGAAGAACGCAGCGAAACGCGAUAGGUAAUGUGAAUUGCAGAAUUCCGUGAAUCAUCGAAUCUUUGAACGCACCUUGCGCUCCAUGGCAUUCCGUGGAGCAUGCCUGUUUGAGUGCCGCGAAAUCUCCCACCCCUAGCGGUUGCCGCAAGGCGCCGCCGGGCGGCGGGGUUGGUUGGGUGCCGCUGCCUGGGCUUUGGCCCAGGCUCGCCCGAAAUGCAUGAGCGCUUAGCACUCGCACCGUCUCGAGGGAAGGCGGCGGAGCUGGCAUCUGCGCAUGGCAUGAUACGUCAUUUGCUGUGUGGCAGCCCAGCGACCCGAGAGUGUGUGUGCGCUACUACACGCCCUUUCAUUUCUGGUCUCAAAUCAGGUAGGAUCACCCGCUGAACUUAAGCAUAUCAAUAAGCGGAGGA
rnacentral:rRNA from 1 species